rnacentral:rRNA from 1 species
GACGAACCGUGCGAACGUUGUUCGGAAUCACUGGGCUUAAAGGGCGCGUAGGCGGCUCGCGAGGGCGGGGGUGAAAUCCCGCAGCUUAACUGCGGAAGGGCCUCCGAUACCGGCGGGCUGGAGGAAGGUAGGGGUGCGCGGAACUUCUGGUGGAGCGGUGAAAUGCGUUGAUAUCAGAAGGAACGCCGGCGGCGAAAGCGGCGCACUGGACCUUUUCUGACGCUGAGGCGCGAAAGCUAGGGGAGCAAACGGG